rnacentral:rRNA from 1 species
UACGUAAUCCCCAAGCGUUACUCGGAAUUACUGGGUGUAAAGGGUUCGCAGGCGGCCUUGUAAGUUGAAUAUGAAAGACCGAAGCUCAACUUCGUGUUUGUGUUCAAAACUACAAGGCUAGAAUUAGGAAGAGGUAAGCGGAAUUCUAAGUGUAGGGGUGCAAUCCGUAGAUACUUAGAAGAACACCAAAAGCGAAGGCAGCUUACUGGUACUAUAUUGACGCUGAGGAACGAAAGCGUGGGGAGCGAAAGGG